AAGUCGAGCGGACAGAAGGGAGCUUGCUCCCGGAUGUUAGCGGCGGACGGGUGAGUAACACGUGGGUAACCUGCCUGUAAGACUGGGAUAACUCCGGGAAACCGGAGCUAAUACCGGAUAGUUCCUUGAACCGCAUGGUUCAAGGAUGAAAGACGGUUUCGGCUGUCACUUACAGAUGGACCCGCGGCGCAUUAGCUAGUUGGUGAGGUAACGGCUCACCAAGGCGACGAUGCGUAGCCGACCUGAGAGGGUGAUCGGCCACACUGGGACUGAGACACGGCCCAGACUCCUACGGGAGGCAGCAGUAGGGAAUCUUCCGCAAUGGACGAAAGUCUGACGGAGCAACGCCGCGUGAGUGAUGAAGGUUUUCGGAUCGUAAAGCUCUGUUGUUAGGGAAGAACAAGUGCAAGAGUAACUGCUUGCACCUUGACGGUACCUAACCAGAAAGCCACGGCUAACUACGUGCCAGCAGCCGCGGUAAUACGUAGGUGGCAAGCGUUGUCCGGAAUUAUUGGGCGUAAAGGGCUCGCAGGCGGUUUCUUAAGUCUGAUGUGAAAGCCCCCGGCUCAACCGGGGAGGGUCAUUGGAAACUGGGAAACUUGAGUGCAGAAGAGGAGAGUGGAAUUCCACGUGUAGCGGUGAAAUGCGUAGAGAUGUGGAGGAACACCAGUGGCGAGGCGACUCUCUGGUCUGUAACUGACGCUGAGGAGCGAAAGCGUGGGGAGCGAACAGGAUUAGAUACCCUGGUAGUCCACGCCGUAAACGAUGAGUGCUAAGUGUUAGGGGGGUUUCCGCCCCUUAGUGCUGCAGCUAACGCAUUAAGCACUCCCGCCUGGGGAGGUACGGUCGCAAGAACUGAACUCAAGGAUGACCGGGCCCGCACAGCG
rnacentral:rRNA from 1 species